rnacentral:rRNA from 1 species
UUGCUCUUCAACGAGGAAUUCCUAGUAGGCGUGAGUCAUCAGCUCGCGUCGAUUACGCCCCUGCCCUUUGUACACACCGCCCGUCGCUACUACCGAUUGAACGGCUUAGUGAGGUCUUCGGAUGGGCUUCGGGGAGCCGGCGACGGCGCCCUGUCGCCGAGAAGUCGAUCAAACUUGGUCGUUUAGAGGAAGUAAAAGUCGUAACAAGGUUUCCGUAGGUGAACCUGCGGAAGGAUCAUUGCGGGUUUAUUACCAUUACACACGCACACCCUAGUGCACCCGUGGAAAAGAGGCAGAGUCCUUUUUCCGUUUUCUCAUACGAAACGCCCUUGUUUUAUGCAAUGUCAUUACAAAUAUCGUAAUAACACAACUUUCAACAACGGAUCUCUUGGCUUUCGCAUCGAUGAAGAACGCCGCGAAAGCGCGAAACGUAAUGUGAAUUGCAGAAUUCAGUGAAUCAUCGAAUCUUUGAACGCACCUUGCGCUCCUUGGUAUUCCGAGGAGCAUGCCUGUUUGAGUGUCGUGAAGUCUCUCGAACCUCUCCGCCUUUGCGCGGGGGCGGCUUCGGAUUUGGACGCUUGCCGCGGGUCGCGGCUCGUCUUCAAAAGCAUUAGCGAAAAAGCUCGUCCCUGCUCUUUUUCAGACGCGAUAAGCUCUUUGCGUCGUUUCGAUAAGAACGGGCGUGCCUCGCGCUUCGUCAACCGUCCGCCUCGCCGGACAAAAUAACACCACGCCUCUGACCUCAAAUCAGGCAGGACUACCCGCUGAACUUAAGCAUAUCAAUAAGCGGAGGA